rnacentral:rRNA from 1 species
UACGGAGGGAGCUAGCGUUGUUCGGAAUUACUGGGCGUAAAGCGCACGUAGGCGGCUUUGUAAGUCAGAGGUGAAAGCCUGGAGCUCAACUCCAGAACCGCCUUUGAGACUGCAUCGCUUGAAUCCAGGAGAGGUGAGUGGAAUUCCGAGUGUAGAGGUGAAAUUCGUAGAUAUCGGGAGGAACACCAGUGGCGAAGGCGGCGAUCUGGGAAGAUACUGACGCUGAGGUGCGAAAGCGUGGGGAGCAAACAGG